rnacentral:rRNA from 1 species
AUUGAACGCUGGCGGCAGGCCUAACAAAUGCAAGUCGAGCGGAGCGGCGGACGGGUGAGUAAUGCCUAGGCAUCUGCCUGGUAGUGGGGGAUAACGUCCGGAAACGGGCGCUAAUACCGCAUACUAUCAGAUGAGCCUAGGUCGGAUUAGCUGUUUGGUGGGGUAAAGGACUACCAAGGCGCCGAUCCGUAACUGGUCUGAGAGGAUGCUCAGUAACACGGGAACUGAGACACGGUCCAGAAUCCUACGGGAGGCAGCAGUGGGGAAUAUUGGACAAUGGGCGAAAGCCUGAUCCAGCCAUGCCGCGUGUGUGAAGAAGGUCUUCGGGUUGUAAAGUACUUUCAGUCGGGAGGCGUUACCGACAGAAGAAGCACCGGCUAACUCCGUGCCAGCCGCCGCGGUAAUU